GCCCGCUCAGAAACUUAAAUGAAUUGACGGGGCCCGCACAAGCGGAGGAGCAUGUGGUUUAAUUCGAUGAUACGCGAGGAACCUUACCUGGGCUCGAACGUAAGAUGACUGUAGGUGAAAGCUUACAUCUCUUCGGAGCAUUUUACGAGGUGCUGCAUGGUUGUCGUCAGCUCGUGCCGUGAGGUGUCGGGUUAAGUCCCAUAACGAGCGCAACCCCUACCUUUAGUUGCCAUCAGGUUAAGCUGGGGACUCUAAAGGAACUGCCUACGCAAGUAGUGAGGAAGGCGGGGAUGACGUCAAAUCAGCACGGCCCUUACGUCCAGGGCUACACACGUGCUACAAUGGCCGAUACAGAGGGCAGCUACCUGGUGACAGGAUGCAAAUCUCCAAAGUCGGUCUCAGUUCGGAUCGGAGUCUGCAACCCGACUCCGUGAAGUUGGAUUCGCUAGUAAUCGCGCAUCAGCCAUGGCGCGGUGAAUACGUUCCCGGGCCUU
rnacentral:rRNA from 1 species